UUGGAGGGCAAGUCUGGUGCCAGCAGCCGCGGUAAUUCCAGCUCCAAUAGCGUAUAUUAAAGUUGUUGCAGUUAAAAAGCUCGUAGUUGAACUUCAGGCCUGGCUGGACGGUCCGCCUUCCGGGCGAGUACUGUCUGUGGUCGGGUCCUACCUUCUGGCGAAGCGUCAUGGUCUUAACCGGCCGUGGCGGGGAACCAGGACUUUUACUGUGAAAAAAUUAGAGUGUUCAAAGCAGGCGAUUCGCUUGGAUACAUUAGCAUGGAAUAAUGGAAUAGGACAAUGGUUCUAUUUGUUGGUUUCUAGGACUGUUGUAAUGGUUAAUAGGGAUAGUUGGGGGCAUUAGUAUUCAAUUGUCAGAGGUGAAAUUCUUGGAUUUAUUGAAGACUAACUACUGCGAAAGCAUUUGCCAAGGAUGUUUUCAUUAAUCAAGAACGAAAGUUAGGGGAUCGAAGACGAUCAGAUACCGUCGUAGUCUUAACCAUAAACUAUGCCGACUAGGGAUCGGACGAAGUUAAUUUUAUAAUGACUCGUUCGGCGCCUUACGGGAAAC
rnacentral:rRNA from 1 species